UACGGAGGGUGCAAGCGUUAUCCGGAAUCACUGGGUUUAAAGGGUGCGUAGGCGGUUUUUUAAGUCAGUUGUGAAAUUCCCUCGCUUAACGAGUGGGACUGCGAUUGAUACUGAAGAACUUGAAUCAGGUUGGGGUAGGCGGAAUGUGACAUGUAGCGGUGAAAUGCAUAGAUAUGUCAUAGAACACCGAUUGCGAAGGCAGCUUGCUGGACCUGUAUUGACGCUGAGGCACGAAAGUGCGGGGAUCAAACAGG
rnacentral:rRNA from 1 species